UACGGGGAGAGCAAGCGUUGUUCGGAUUUACUGGGCGUAAAGGGCGCGUAGGCGGUCAGCACAAGUCAGUUGUGAAAUCUCCGGGCUUAACUCGGAAAGGUCAACUGAUACUGUGCGACUAGAGUGCGGAAGGGGCAACUGGAAUUCUCGGUGUAGCGGUGAAAUGCGUAGAUAUCGAGAGGAACACCUGCGGCGAAGGCGGGUUGCUGGGCCGACACUGACGCUGAUGCGCGAAAGCCAGGGGAGCGAACGGG
rnacentral:rRNA from 1 species